UAUUACUUUGAACGACAUUCUUGUCUUUUUGAACGUAGUUAAUGCAUACGCAUCUAUUCGAACCCUCCAUUUUCAAUUCGAACAAAAAUCUUCCAUACAAAUACCCAAUUUGAAUACAGAAUGGCAAAAACUCAUCACUUUAAUCCAGUUUGAACCCAGGAGCUCCUCACUUCCAAUCCGUCACUCGCGUCACCACCACCAACACCACCGUUGAAAGCCCUAUCUUCGAAGAGUGAACUAAUUGCAACUAGUGGAAGAAAACGUGGGAGAAAAGCCGGCCAACCUAAUGGAGAAGCUAGUGCUCAACUGCGGAGAUUGAUAUUGGUCGAGCGGGAGAUCAUUCUAGAUGAGGUUUGCAAUAUUGCCAGGGAUGGACAGAGCAUAUACUCCAUCAUCAACAACCGGGGAUGGGCACCGAGCUGUCAGUAAAGGGGUGUUGCCUAUCCAGACAUGUUCGGUGAGUUCUACCAUACCAUGGGUGAGAUGGAGGCUGAUGCGGAUGCCUUCACCUUUACCGUUCGGGGGGUGAGUAUUACUAUCUCACCAUCUGUUAUUUAUUAUUUCAUUAGUAUCUCGUGCGUGAUUGGUGCAUACCCUAUACCAGCUGCACCACCUGCACCUAAUGCAGGGACAUAUGGUGAGGGUGAUAGUGAGGAUGAUGCUCCAGCAGAUAAUGGUCUCACAGACGAUGAUGCUGGACGCUUCGGCUCCUCCAUAUAAUGGCAGUAAGGUCAUCAAGCAGAUUUCGGCCUCAAGCGAGCUAGAUUUAUGAAACGAAUAGCUUAAGGAGAGCCAAUUGAUCUGCCAUUAUAUUUCUUCAACCGAAUUUGAUUUGAGUCACGCUAUUUUAGUGGAGGCAGUCUACCAUUUGCACUGAUGAUCUCUAACCUCUUAGUCCGAUUGAGAGUUAAUGUGCAAAUGACUGAGAGGAAGCAGCCACAGAUUGGGCCUCUUAACAAGAUGGCAUUCAGCAGGAGUGAGGGUCACUUGCGGAAGACUUGAGCUAAUAUUCCAGCAGCACAAGAUAGUGGCACGACGAGUGAUCCAACUUCUACUCCUGUUGGUGUUCAGAGUCAGCUUGCUAGGGCUAGUUUGGAUGAGGUACGAUCUCUGCUCAAGGAGCAUCGCUAUGAUGCCCCCAAAUUCCGUUUGGAAUCGGACGGACAUUUGAAGCGUCGAGACAUGCAACACAAGGUUACCUGCC